rnacentral:rRNA from 1 species
CGCUGGCGGCGUGCUUAACACAUGCAAGUCGAACGGUGAAGGGGAGCUUGCUCCCGGAUCAGUGGCGAACGGGUGAGUAACACGUGGGCAACCUGCCCCAGACUUCGGGAUAACGCUUCGAAAGAGGUGCUAAUACCGGAUACGAACUCCUUGGGCAUCCCGGGAGUUGGAAAGUUUUUCGGUCUGGGAUGGGCCCGCGGCCUAACAGCUUGUUGGUGAGGUAACGGCUCACCAAGGCGACGACGGGUAGCCGGCCUGAGAGGGCGACCGGCCACACUGGGACUGAGACACGGCCCAGACUCCUACGGGAGGCAGCAGUGGGGAAUAUUGCGCAAUGGGCGAAAGCCUGACGCAGCAACGCCGCGUGAGGGAUGACGGCCUUCGGGUUGUAAACCUCUUUCAGCAGGGAAGAAGCGAAAGUGACGGUACCUGCAGAAGAAGCACCGGCUAACUACGUG